GCCGAGGUGGCGGAAUCGGUAGACGCGCUAGUUUCAGGGACUAGUGCCGCAAGGCGUGUGAGUUCAAGUCUCAUCCUCGGCACCA
rnacentral:tRNA from 1 species